rnacentral:lncRNA from 1 species
AAAAUGAAGCUGAGGGUGGAGUCCCAUCUUUAAAAACUAAACAGGCAUUUUGGACAACACAUUCUUGGCAAGGUAAUCUGGAUGACAUUUAUCAGACACUGUAGGGAAAGCUCUUUCAGCAUUUGUAAAAAGAACAGCCAAAUAAUGGUUACAGAAGUAAGACUGCAGACUUUAACAAACUGUUUAAAUUGUUCUCUUACAGAGUCUGUCUCCACUGCCAGAGAGCUUGAAUGACCUUUUGGUCCUCCGUCCUGAAGCAAUUCUUAACAUAGUUGGCAAAUUUGGGCUCCAGCUUAGGAAGGGAACAACCCUUGUCUACGGAGGCCUGCAUUUUUGCUUUGAUCUCCUCUAACGACAGAGGAACUUUCGGUGUUUUUGGAGUUAGAGAUUUGUCCUUCUUGGAAUCUGGAGUUUUUGUUUUAGAUGCUGGUGUGGACGGCUUUGAGUCUUUUCCAUUUUGCUUUGCUUUCUGCAUAUUUUUUCCUGCAGGCUCGCGGGCAGGUUUCUUCAUUGGUGUUUUAAUCUCCUCCUCAUCAUCAUCCAAGUCGUCUUCAUCAUCCUCAUCAUCAUCCUCAUCUUCAUCAUCGUCCUCAUCAUCUUCUGAUAAUUUUGGUUUUUCUGUGGUGUUUUAGCUCCUCCUCCACUUGCUGGUCUCUUUGUUGAAGCAUUCCCUAUUUUUGUAUCCUCCUCCUCAUCCUCUGAUUCUGGCUCUUCCUCUAAUGCUACAAGAUGCUGACCACUGACAUAAACAGGCCCCGAACCACAUUUUAACCUCAGGACAACUGGUGGUGUGAUCUCAAAUCCACCUAGUGAAACUGUAGGCUGCACAGACAUUUUCAGAGAUGCCAGUACUACUUUAGUUGGGUUGCCUUCGUAGUCCAGUGCUUCUGCUUCUACAACAUGUAAUUCGUCUUUGGCUCCAGCCCCUAAUGUAACCGUUCUCAAGGACAGCUGAUGCUCGUUUUCCUCAUCAUCUACUUUGAACUGAUAUUCCUUCUCUGCUUUAAGCUCGCAGCCGAAGAGGAAGGUCUGCGGGCGCAGCGGGCCCAUGCUCUCCAUGUCCAUGGCGCUGUCCUCCAUCUUCUCGGCCUGCUCGCGCGGGAGGAGCUGUACGGGAUGCGGCGCUGCGGACGGACGCGCACUAAAG